CCCGCUACUCCACAGAGCGUCUGGACUCCACUUCCCAGAAUUCCUGAGCCAAACUGACCGCGACGACCCCGAGCGACUGGACUACACUUCCCAGAAUUCCCUGGGAUCCGCCUGCCGGAGCCAAAUUGACCGCGACGCCACUGAGCGUCUGGACUACAUUUCCCAGAAAUCCCGAUUCGCCUGCCGGAGCCAAACUGACCGCUACUCCACUGAGCACCUGGACCACCGUUACCAGAAUUGCCUGUGUACUCCUCCUGGAGCUAGUGUGUGCGACUCCAUAGAGCAUUUGGAUUACACUCCUCCGAAUGCCGAAGGAAAAACGCUCAAAAUCUCAUUCUUCAGGGGGAAGCGUUGCAACUCCGGGGUGCCCACUGGGAACGAAUCCCAAAGCCACGAGCGCCUGCCUGGUGAGGAAUGUGAACUGUUAUCCUGAGAGUCGUCCUUCUCUCUCCCUGGUUCAGGACAGAAAAUAUUGAAUAGACGGGAAUUCCUGAAGUCUAAACGCCUCCAACGAUAAGAGGAGUGUUAUUGGAAAGGGAACAAGCAAGAAGACGCAAUCUUCGAGGAGUUAAGUUUUGCUAAUCUAAUGAUGAGAUUGCAUUCAUGAAGACUGAGUGAAGACUUUAUCGCACCAUCACAUCACUAAGGUUUUUCUCCAACAUGAACAUUCUGAUGAAGCUGAAGACUUGAGGCCCGACUAAAGCACAUAUCACACUCCCGACACUUCCAUGUUUUCUCUCCCACGUGGACCCUCUGAUGCACCUCAAGAUUCAAGCGCCUGUUGUAGCCCUUCCCACAGUCAUCACAUUUGUAUGGCUUUUCUACACUGUGAACUUUUUCUUGUACUUUAGAGAAUGAAUUCCAUACAAUGUUCUUCCCAUGCUCCUCACAUUUGAGAGGUGUUUCCCUGCUGUGGCGUCUCUGAUGGGUCAGACGAGUUGAGGACCAUCUGAAGCCCUUCCCACACUCAUCACAUUUGUAUGGCUUUUCUCCAGUGUGCACUCUUUGAUGAGAAUGAAGCUGUGAAUUCUGAGUAAAUCUUUUCCCACACUCUUCACAUUUGAAUGGUUUUUCUCCACUGUGCAGUCUCUGAUGUUUCAAAAGACAUGAGGCCCAGCCAAAACUCUUCCCACAUUCUUUACAAUUAUAUGGUCUCUCUCCUGUGUGGACCUUCUGGUGCAUAUCAAGAUUAAACUUACUAUUGUAGCCCUUUCCACACUUCUCACAUUUGUAUGGCUUUUCUCCAGUGUGGACUCUUUGAUGGGAAUGAAGAUGUGAAUUUUGAGUAAACCUCUUCCCACACUCUUCACAUUGGAAUGGUUUUUCUCCACUGUGGAGUCUCUCAUGUUUCAAAAGGCAUGGGGCCCGACUAAAGCUCUUCCCACAUUCCUUACAAUUAUACAGUUUCUCUCCUGUAUGGACGCGCUGGUGAAAGUCAAGAUCCAACCUCCUUUUGUAGCCCUUCCCACACUCCACACAUUUGUAUGGUUUUUCUCCACUAUGGGAUCUCUGGUGGGAAUAACAUUGUGAAUUUGUGUAAAAUCCUUUCCCACAUUCUUCACAUUUGAAUGGUUUUUCUCCACUGUGGACUCGCUGAUGUUUCAAAAGGCACGAGGCCCAUCUGAAAUUCUUCCCGCAAUCUUUACAAUUAUAUGGCUUCUCUCCCGUGUGAACCAUAUGAUGUGUAUAAAGAUCUCGCCUGCAAAUAAAGCCUUUUCCACACUCCUCACAU